AGCGGAACGGAUGAUCGCGGGCCUUUUGGCACGAGGAAAGUCCGGGCUUCACAGGGCAGGAUGCCGGAUAACGUCCGGCGGAGGAAACUCCCGGGAAAGUGCAACAGAAAACAAACAGCCCCCUUAAGGGGGUAACGGUGAAAAGGCAGUGUAAGAGACUACCGGUACUGCGGUAACGCAGGACGCAUUGUAAACCCCAUCCGAAGCAAGGUCAAACGGAAAGACUAUGGGCCUGCCCGGUCCGUCUUCAGGUAGACCGCUUGAGCCCUGCGGCGACGCAGGGCCUAGACAGAUGAUCAUCCCGGCGCGUUAAGCGCUAUGACAGAACCCGGCUUACAGUUCCGCUUUU
rnacentral:RNase_P_RNA from 1 species